rnacentral:piRNA from 1 species
AGGGNGUUUCCAGGCCAGAAGCCAUCCCUGC